UAGGGAAUCUUCCACAAUGGACGCAAGUCUGAUGGAGCAACGCCGCGUGAGUGAAGAAGGUUUUCGGAUCGUAAAGCUCUGUUGUUGGUGAAGAAGGAUAGAGGCAGUAACUGGUCUUUAUUUGACGGUAAUCAACCAGAAAGUCACGGCUAACUACGUGCCAGCAGCCGCGGUAAUACGUAGGUGGCAAGCGUUGUCCGGAUUUAUUGGGCGUAAAGCGAGCGCAGGCGGAAUGAUAAGUCUGAUGUGAAAGCCCACGGCUCAACCGUGGAACUGCAUCGGAAACUGUCAUUCUUGAGUGCAGAAGAGGAGAGUAGAACUCCAUGUGUAGC
rnacentral:rRNA from 1 species